rnacentral:rRNA from 1 species
AGUGAACGCUGGCGGUAGGCCUAACACAUGCAAGUCGAACGGCAGCACAGUAAGAGCUUGCUCUUACGGGUGGCGAGUGGCGGACGGGUGAGGAAUACAUCGGAAUCUACUUUUUCGUGGGGGAUAACGUAGGGAAACUUACGCUAAUACCGCAUACGACCUACGGGUGAAAGCAGGGGAUCUUCGGACCUUGCGCGAUUGAAUGAGCCGAUGUCGGAUUAGCUAGUUGGCGGGGUAAAGGCCCACCAAGGGGACGAUCCGUAGCUGGUCUGAGAGGAUGGUCGGCCACACUGGAACGGAAACACGGACAAGACUCCUAAGGGAGGCAGCAGUGGGGAAUAUUGGACAAUGGGCGCAAGCCUGAUCCAGCCAUCCCGCGUGGGUGAAGAAGGCCUUCGGGUUGUAAAGCCCUUUUGUUGGGAAAGAAAAGCAGCAGGUUAAUACCCCGCUGUUCUGACGGUACCCAAAGAAUAAGCACCGGCUAACUUCGUG